AACGAACGCUGGCGGCAGGCCUAACACAUGCAAGUCGAACGCUGCAGCAAUGCAGAGUGGCAGACGGGUGAGUAACGCGUGGGAACCUUCCCAAUGGUACGGAAUAGCCCAGGGAAACUUGGGGUAAUACCGUAUAAGCACCAUGGGGGAAAGAUUUAUCGCCAUUGGAUGGGCCCGCGUCGGAUGAGCUAGUUGGUGAGGUAACGGCUCACCAAGGCGACGAUCCGUAGCUGGUUUGAGAGAAUGACCAGCCACACUGGGACUGAGACACGGCCCAGACUCCUACGGGAGGCAGCAGUGGGGAAUCUUGGACAAUGGGCGAAAGCCUGAUCCAGCCAUGCCGCGUGAGUGACGAAGGCCUUAGGGUUGUAAAGCUCUUUUGGCGGGGACGAUAAUGACGGUACCCGCAGAAUAAGUCCCGGCUAACUUCGUGCCAGCAGCCGCAGUAA
rnacentral:rRNA from 1 species